AAAACACCCGGAAAACACCCGGAAAUACACCCAGAAACACCCCGGAAACACCCGGAAAUACACCCAGAAAUACACCCAGAAACAGCCCGAAAACACCCGGAAAUACACCCAGAAACAGCCCGGAAACACCCGGAAAUACACCCAGAAACACCCCGGAAACACCCGGAAAUACACCCAGAAACAGCCCGGAAACACCCGGAAAUACACCCAGAAACAACCCAAAACACCCGGAAAUACACCCGGAAACAGCCCGAAAACACCCGGAAAUACACCCAGAAAUACCCAAAAAUACCCCAAAAUUGCUGGUCUGUACUGGGAGCCGUUACUGGUCUGUACUGGGAGCUGUUACUGGUCUGUACUGGGAGCCGUUACUGGUCUGUACUGGGAGCUGUUACUGGUCUGUACUGGUCUGUACUGGGAGCUGUUACUGGUCUGUACUGGUCUGUACUGGGAGCUGUUACUGGUCUGUACUGGUCUGUACUGG
rnacentral:lncRNA from 1 species